GUCUAUUGGAAGAUAUAAAAAGUCUAACCUGCCCACUGAUAAAUAAUUUAAGGGCCGCAGUAUUAUGACUGUGCAAAGGUAGCAUAAUCAUUAGGUUUUUAAAUGAGAUCUUGUAUGAAUGGUUGAACAAAGGAAAAACUGUCUUUAUUUUAUUUUUUGAAUUUUACUUUUAAGUGAGAAGGCUUAAAUAAACUAGAGGGACGAUAAGACCCUAUAAAGCUUUACAUUUUAAUAAUAUUUAAUUAAAAUUUUAAUUAAAAGUUUAAUAUAAUUAUUUGUUAUACUGGGGAGGUAAAAGUAUAAGUAAUAUUAACUGCUUUUAUAAAAACCAUUUAUAUAUGAAAAUAAUAGAUCCUAAAUAUAGAUUAAAAGAUUAAGUUACUUUAGGGAUAACAGUAUAAUUUUUUUCGAGAGUUCUUAUCGAAAAAAAAGAUUGUAACCUCGAUGUUGAAUUAAAUCACCUAUAUAAUGAAGCUGUUAUAAAAGGAGGUCUGUUCGACCUUUAAAAAUUUACAUGAUUUGAGUUCAAAUCGGCGUAAG
rnacentral:rRNA from 1 species